rnacentral:snoRNA from 1 species
AAAGCAGGCUGCAAUUACAGUGCUUCAUUCUGUGGGAGUUCCUGCUGAGAGUAACUCUGUUAACGCUGUCUUCGGUUUCACCUAUACGGUGGUGAAACCGUUUGUUCUUAACAUGUACAAGU